UACGAAGGGGGGCGAGCGUUUGUUCGGAUUUACUGGGCGUAAAGGGCGCGCAGGCGGCGCAUUUUGUCAGGCGUGAAAGCCCCGGGCUUAACCUGGGAACUGCGUUUGAUACGGAUGGGCUAGAGUUCGGGGAGAGGAGAGUGGAAUUCCCAGUGUAGAGGUGAAAUUCGUAGAUAUUGGGAAGAACACCAGUGGCGAAGGCGGCUACCUGGCAUGAUACUGACACUGAGGCGCGAAAGCGUGGGGGAGCAAACAGG
rnacentral:rRNA from 1 species